CCCAGCAGAUGGUAGCACUUGGCUGACCUGGCCCAGGCCUGGAAACUAAGCAGAGUUGGACCUGGUUAGAACUUUGAUGGGAGACCCAAUAGGAAAUAUAAUGGCCUCAGCUAGGU
rnacentral:rRNA from 1 species